GCACAAGCGGUGGAUGAUGUGGUUUAAUUCGAUGCAACGCGAAAACCUUACCCACCUUUGACAUGGCAGGAAUCCCGAAGAGAUUUGGGAGUGCUCGAAAGAGAACCUGCACACAGGUGCUGCAUGGCUGUCGUCAGCUCGUGUCGUGAGAUGUUGGGUUAAGUCCCGCAACGAGCGCAACCCUUGCCAUUAGUUGCUACGAAAGGGCACUCUAAUGGGACUGCCGGUGACAAACCGGAGGAAGGUGGGGAUGACGUCAAGUCCUCAUGGCCCUUAUAGGUGGGGCUACACACGUCAUACAAUGGCCGGUACAGAGGGUAGCCAACCCGCGAGGGGGAGCUAAUCCCACAAAGCCGGUCGUAGUCCGGAUCGCAGUCUGCAACUCGACUGCGUGAAGUCGGAAUCGCUAGUAAUCGUGGAUCAGAAUGUCACGGUGAAUACGUUCCCGGGCCUU
rnacentral:rRNA from 1 species